rnacentral:rRNA from 1 species
GGGCCCGCACAAGCGGUGGAGUAUGUGGUUUAAUUCGAUGCAACGCGAAGAACCUUACCAGGGUUUGACAUCCUGCGAAUCUCUUGGAAACAGGAGAGUGCCUUCGGGAACGCAGUGACAGGUGGUGCAUGGCUGUCGUCAGCUCGUGUCGUGAGAUGUUGGGUUAAGUCCCGCAACGAGCGCAACCCACGUCUUUAGUUGCCAGCAUUUAGUUGGGCACUCUAGAGAGACUGCCGGUGAUAAACCGGAGAAGGUGUGGAUGACGUCAAGUCAUCAUGCCCCUUACAUCUGGGCUACACACGUACUACAAUGCUACGGACAAAGGGCAGCAAGUUCGCGAGGACAAGCAAAUCCUAGAAAGUUUCUCGU